rfam:Acyrthosiphon pisum strain LSR1 Contig6679, whole genome shotgun sequence.
UCGUGUUCUGUGGCUGACUGGGCUGGCGCUGGACUGGCGGGCGCCCGCCGGUCUGUCACAGAACACGAGA